UACGAAGGGGGCUAGCGUUGCUCGGAAUUACUGGGCGUAAAGCGUGCGUAGACGGCUAUCUAAGUCGGGUGUGAAAGCCCCGGGCUCAACCUGGGAAUUGCAUUCGAGACUGAAUAGCUAGGGUGCGGUAGAGGGAAGCGGAAUUUCCGGUGUAGCGGUGAAAUGCGUAGAUAUCGGAAGGAACAUCAGUGGCGAAAGCGGCUUCCUGGACCAGCACCGACGUUCAGGCACGAAAGCGUGGGGAGCAAACAGG
rnacentral:rRNA from 1 species